AUGCUUCCCCCUACUGAAGAACCCUGGCUCUUGGCAUGCAACCGGACGGAGGGCUCACAAUUCUGGCGAGCCAUCCAAAGGAUCAAGGAGGACAUCCGCCUAGGGAUCUCCUUCUCCUUAGGGAACAGCAAAGGGAUCCAAUUUUGGCUGGAUCCCUGGCUGGGUACUGAGCCAUUAUGCGUUUGCUUCCCUGGCCUAUUCUCGAUAUGUGUGGAUUCGUCUGUACUAGUGUCUACAGCCUUCCAAGCUGGACAGUGGAACAUCCGGUUUCGUCGCACCUUUGGACAAGCCGAGAGUAACGACUGGACUAGAUUGCGGGCCGCCCUACCGCUCGUGCUUCCAGAUUAUCUGGACACGGUAUCCUGGCGGCUCGCACCAAUGGCAGAGUUCUCAGUGAGCACGACAUACCAUGCCCUUUGCCCGUCUACUGCCACUUCCUGGCUGUCCCCAUUAUGGAAAGCCCCCGUACCUUUAAAGAUUAAGAUUUUUGUUUGGCAACUUCUAUGGGGUCGCCUCCCCUCGGGGGACAAAGUACCUGAGACCGGGACUCAUAUCCUCUUCUCUUGUACGACGGCAAGGGUACUAUGGACGUACGUUCGCGAGGCGUUGGGGCCUGACUGGGAGGCCCUAAAUCUCGCGGAGUUUCUCCAACAUAGAGCUUUGCAGCAGUUACGACAUCGCCGCCUAUUUUGGCUUAUUUUUGUGGCGAUGUCGUGGACUCUUUGGACGACUCGGAAUAAGAUGGUGAUCGAGAAGUACUGGCACCCGCUCUCGAGACAGCGUGAUCGCGAUCGGCUUGGCCUUAUGAUGGAUGCGCUCUUGGCUUCGGAGCGUCGACUAUCGUCCUCGAUUGAGGGGGAUCAAACCGAAGACGGCAACACGGUUCCCCUCUCUGGAGGCCGACAAUUAGGGGUUGCGCGGCUGCUGAUGGGGCGCUGUCGAACUAUGUGGUACUGGACGCGGGGAAUGGCGACGGCAAUGCCCUACAGCCAGACGGCCCAAUUCACCGGCCACUUCGCCGCGGUUGGAGGAGAAAGGUUUUUUUCCUUUGAGCGUGGGAGGAAAGGGUAUGAGCAGGCCACUGGCGCGUGCGGGCGUGGACGACCCAGCCAAUUUCUCAAGCGAGGAGAGAGUAGUGUGCGUGUCGAAUUCGACCGCGGCCCGGCCCAGCCCAUCAAUUUCAGUGCGGCCCGGCACUCAGUGAGACUAGGCCCAACCUCUGCUCCCAUCCUCUGCUCGGGCCAGGACCUCCUGCGGAAGCUAGCCGCCGUUUACCCUAGUUCGGCGAGCGAUUUCCCCGGCGUGGUUCCACGCCGCCGUCAGACAUGCCUGCCGGCGCCGUCGCAUUUGCGCAGCAGCUGCUCAAUUCUCCGCCAGCUAAUUCCUCGGUGCGUUUCCCUGGAACUCCACCAUUCCUCUGCUCAGGCCAGGCGCUCCCGCGAAGCCAUCUGCCAUGGAAUCGGCACCCCUAGUCCAUGUCUACCCACCUGUAGAUUCACACUGUAA
rnacentral:rRNA from 1 species